GGGCACAUAGCGUAGGGGUUAUCGCGCUCGCUUUGCAUGUUUGCUGGAUGCGAGAGGUCUCCGGUUCAAAUCCGGAUGUGUCCA
rfam:Lentinula edodes NBRC 111202 DNA, contig: scaffold200.